rnacentral:rRNA from 1 species
UACGUAGGGAGCAAGCGUUGUCCGGAAUCAUUGGGCGUAAAGCGGGUGUAGGCGGCUCUAUAAGUCAGGAGUGAAAGCCCCGAGCUUAACUUGGGAAGUGCUUUUGAUACUGCAGAGCUUGAAUGUGGGAGAGGGUAGUGGAAUUCCAGGUGUAGUGGUGAAAUACGUAGAUAUCUGGAGGAACACCGGUGGCGAAAGCGGCGCACUGGACCACAACUGACGCUGAGGCGCGAAAGCUAGGGGAGCAAACAGG